CUGCAGUUCUUCAGCGAGACCACUAGAUGGAGGUAUUUUAGCAAAUUUAAACCACCCAGCCUUUCGUGGGCACCACUUUCCGGGGAGGAAAACAAACACAGACACCCCACUAAAACUCAACAUAAAAGGCGAGGGCCGUGAAACAAAAACCCUUUCGGGGGCAGCCCAGCUUCCCCUUGCCGGGGGCACGGAACCUCGGAGAAUUUCACCGCUUUGAAGGAGAACACGUCCAGGGCGAGCAGGAAGGGGCAGCUUCAACAAGUGCUCUCAUACGUGAUCUACCACGAUCAACUGUUUGAAGAUGGCGGUUGCCAGGACUCCUGAGGCGAAGAAGGGAUCAGAGGAAGCGGGCAGCUCCCCACCUGCGAAACACAGGCCUGGGCUCUGUUGUCGUGGGAAGGUGGCUUGUGGGGUCCAGCUCACCAGCAUUUCCAGACUGUGUCCGGAGCUCUGAAUCCCUUGUUCCAAGCUUUCUGCCCAAGAAGAUGGAGCUGGAGACAGGAACUGAGGUCUAGAGAGAAUCAGGAAUUUGCCCAGGGCACCAGAGGGCCAGAAGCAGACUCCAGACCUCCGGAUUCUCUCCACACGGUGCUGCCCCCGAGCGAGGCUACAAGAGCCGCCUUCUCAUUCAUCCAGCCCCUACCACGUGAGGCCUCAUGCCAGAGGCACCCUCCCAGACCACAGCUACGCAGGGCCCCUCUCUGGUGCCUCUCCUUCUGCUUCUUUGGGCUACUCCACUUGCACCCUCCUCUCCACUCUCCAAGUCCUCUCUAGCAACGGCUCUCCACCUUGUACAGGUCAGAGACCCCCUAGGAGAGUCUAAGGAAAGGCUUGAAAAAUGCACAAGGACAUAAACGUUCCAAAAGUGGAAAGCGCUGUGGAGUUUCACAGACCCCCGCCUUGCCCCCCGCCCCCAAAGCUGCUUUCACUUGGAACGCAACGGAAGAGGGCAAUUCCAAGACAACGAGAGAGGCAGCCACCCCAGAAGGUGUCAGCCACACUUUGUAAAUGCCCAAGGAAAGGGCAGGCAGUCCAAGGACGCACAGGAAACAGGAAUGACGGUUGCCUCGAGAGUUCAAGCACGCAACCAAGGAGGAUCCUAGGCCAGAGGGAGCCCUAGGCUGUAAUACAGAUGAAAUGAAGGAGAACUUCCCAUAUAACCCACAGGGCGAUAAGUCCACCUGGAAUGUUUGUUGAAGAGCUGGGUAGGGAAAGUUGGCCCAACUGUAGAAAGCCCUAUCAGCAGCCAUCAGCAAAGGCCAAAACAGAUAAAAAGAAAAAGUAUGCAAUCUCAAAGACUGGAGAAUUCGAGAGCUCACACUUAUUUGCCCUUGUGUGACAUGACCUCCCUAAGUCAUAGGUUGCUCACCUGUGAAAUGGAGGAAGCAGCGCUAACCUUGCAAGGACAUUGAGCAGUCUGAUGAUAACGUGCCCAGAGCUAGCAUGGCAGCUGGCAGGGACUGUGCACUCAACAACGCCAGCUACUCUUACCAGUACUACCUGGCAGUGACGCAAACUGACUUUUUGGACUUAUUACGUGAAGAUGAAAAUGAAGUGUACAUAGAAAAAUGAUCUGUAGCUAUCUCUAAGAGUGGGCCCAACCCAAUAUCUCUUAAAUAGAUAAAGCUUUCAAAAUUGA